AUUGAACGCUGGCGGCAUGCUUUACACAUGCAAGUCGAACGGUAACAGGGUGCUUGCACCGCUGACGAGUGGCGAACGGGUGAGUAAUGCGUCGGAACGUGCCGAGUAGUGGGGGAUAACGCAGCGAAAGUUGUGCUAAUACCGCAUACGUACUGAGGUAGAAAGUGGGGGACCUUCGGGCCUCACGCUAUUCGAGCGGCCGACGUCUGAUUAGCUAGUAGGUGAGGUAAAGGCUCACCUAGGCGACGAUCAGUAGCGGGUCUGAGAGGAUGAUCCGCCACACUGGGCCUGAGACACGGCCCAGACUCCUACGGGAGGAAGCAGUGGGGAAUUUUGGACAAUGGGCGAAAGCCUGAUCCAGCCAUGCCGCGUGUCUGAAGAAGGCCUUCGGGUUGUAAAGGACUUUUGUCAGGGAGGAAAUCCCUAGUGCUAAUACCGUUGAGGGAUGGCAGUACCUGAAGAAUAAGCACCGGCUAACUACGUGCCAGCCGCCGCCGUAA
rnacentral:rRNA from 1 species